UAACCAAACAGACUCUAGGAUUUUGGGAAAGGCGAAAUGAGAAUGAAUGAAAGCAGUUUGGUCGCAGAGACGGUGUGGAGAGACAUUGAGUCGACCCGUUCAGUAACCAAUGAUCAGCUCUCCAUUUUACGUUUUUUGUUUGGUAAAAACUUGGAGAGAGCGACUAGGAUAGUGGAUCAACAAGUUGUGAAGAUGAUAUCUAGUGAACCCAGUGGGCAUUCUAUCUUUCAGGUUGUGGUAGAAUAUGGAUGGAGGAAUAUUUCUGCUUCGCGGAACACUAUUCUUGUUUUUCAUUCUACUACAACAUUGUAAACAGAGGAGAGCAGCUUUGUUGUAAGCAUCAAUUAGCAGCAAGACUUGCUGCAUCCGUAGGAGCGUGUGUUGAUGUUAAGGUGUCUGAUGAGGAGCUAACUUUACUGCUUUCCAAUAUCUGAGGUAUUUGGACAGAAGCUGCAUUUGCAUUUGGAGUUGAAGGGCUUGCUUCAACGUGUGGGUGGUUAGCACUCUGGACUUUGAAUCCAACUACCUGGUAUCAACCACGGUGACAUCUGCAUAGGGGGUGUGUGAGAGAGAGAUAAAGGCUAGCUCCUCAUUGGUUAUCGUUAAGGCAUAGCUGCUUAUUUCUGUCUUCCUGGGAUUAGGUUAUUCUUUGAUUGCUUUGAAAAGGUCUAGCGCAAGAAAAUUGGUGCAAUUAUGUUUAGUUCUGCCUUCCUGGGAUUAGGGCCAAAGGUUGGAGCAUUGUCAAAUCCCUCCACUGGCAUCAUUGGUUCGAGUAUGAAGUGAUAGGUUGAUCGAAAUUCAUCGCAGUGAAGUCAGUGACAGGAAAGGCUAUCAGGCGGUAGCAAAACAGUAGGACCGGGUUCAAAUUUAAGGCACCACAAAAUGAGAGCCUUGGCUAGGGCUACUUUUUUGCACUUACCAUUCCCUGUUUUGGUAUCUCUUAGUGGAUGUGAAUCUAUAACCUUUUUUUAUUAUUAUAAUUUUUUAUUUAUGAUUAUUUUCAAUUGCGAGUAGGAAUGAAUCCUUGUGGAAUGAUAAAACUGAGAUGCAUAGAAUCGACACAUUUCGUGGGUACUGUGUUUUAUGUGAUCUCUAUGUGUCAUGAAUUCAUGAUCAUCGUAAUACACAAUGAAAUAGAUAAACCUUGCUUUGUGAAAAAUAAGAGUUUUUUUUAGCUUAUUUGAAUUCUAUUAAUUUUAUAGUUUGCAGAAUGUGAUGGAAUUUUUUUGAAAGAUUAUAUGAAUGCAAAUCUUGACACUUCUCUCAUAUGUAAAAAAGGGAGGGGAAAAAAAAAUCUUUAAGUGUCAAAAAAAAAAAAAAAAAAAAAGGGGAAAAUCACAGGAGUUAUCUAUUCAAUUAAAAUUUUGGAUGAAAAAAGAAAUAAAUUUCUACAAAUCGGAGGAGAAAAAAAAAAAAAAAAAAAGAACAA